UUUAUAUGAAAAUUGAUCUACAGAAAAAGUUACACAUGAAAUUCAACCACUUCGCCAUUUUCGGCGAAAUUAGAUUUCCCAAAUUCGGCUUGGAAGAUGGAGUUUCGGGCCUCCGAAGUUUGGAACGUUAGGACGCCUAACUCUGUUUUGCAGGAUGUAUGUAUGUAUCUUGUGAUCAGUAUGGCCCCCUUGUGUAUGUGAUGCAUGUGUGUAACUCAUUCAUGACCUGCGUGUCG
rnacentral:lncRNA from 1 species